GUCUGGUCCAAAGGUAGUGAGUUAUUUCAAUUGAUUAUUCACAGUCAGUUACAGAACAAACUCCCAGUUCUACCCUUUCCGUCCUUCUCACUAUUGCACUUGACUAAUCUUUU
rnacentral:Y_RNA from 1 species